rnacentral:rRNA from 1 species
UACGAAGGGUGCAAACGUUGCUCGGAAUUAUUGGGCGCAAAGCGCACGUAGGCGGCAUUGCAAGUCGGAUGUGAAAUCCCUCGGCUUAACCAAGGAAGUGCAUCCGAAACUGCAGUGCUUGAGUACUUAAGAGGAUCGCGGAAUUCCCGGUGUAGAGGUGAAAUUCGUAGAUAUCGGGAGGAACACCAGUGGCGAAGGCGGCGAUCUGGGAAGAUACUGACGCUGAGGUGCGAAAGCGUGGGGAGCAAACAGG